AUUGAACGCUGGCGGCAGGCCUAACACAUGCAAGUCGAGCGAGCGGCGGACGGGUGAGUAAUGUAUGGGGACUGCCCGAUAGAGGGGGCUAACUACUGGAAACGGUGGCUAAUACCGCAUACUGUCGGAUAACCCAUAUGGGAUUAGAUAGUAGGUGGGGUACAGGCUCACACAGGCGAAUAGCUCUAGCUGGUCUGAGAGGUGGAGCAGCCACACUGGGACGGAGACACGGCCCAGACGCCUACGGAGGCAGCAGUGGGGAAUAUUGCACAAUGGGCGCAAGCCUGAUGCAGCCAUGCCGCGUGUAUGAAGAAGGCCUUAGGGUUGUAAAGUACUUUCAGCGGGGAGGCGUUACCCGCAGAAGAAGCACCGGCUAACUCCGUGCCAGCAGCCGCGGUAAUUC
rnacentral:rRNA from 1 species